CAAUGACGAAGGUGGCCAGCUCGUUGUCAUGAUUGAGUUCUCAUCCACUUUAAUGAGCUGCAUAAAAGCUCCCCGGGUGCAUCUGCCAGCACUGACAUUGAACUGGAGACCAAACAUGGCAUUCAGUAGGGUUGAUUUCCCUGUGCUCUGGAUGCCAAGCACGGACAAGACAAAGACUCGCUUGUCGCCCAGCCUCUCAAUUAACCUGUCAAAGAUUGCUGCAACCCAUUGUAAGGGUACGUAAGAAGCAUCACCAUCCAUCAGCUCAAUGGGAUACCCUGAAACCAUCAGGUCAGCUGCAAUUUCAGGUAGUUUGAGAAUACAUUCAUCUUUGGAGUUUGUUGAUUCAAGAGCUUCAUAAAUCUGCCCUACCUCUCUCAAAAUAUGCUCAAGGCCAACGGAUGAAUCAUUGAUUUCAUUGGAAAGGGAAUCUAACCUUUUAGUCAUUACAGUUUUUGCUUUGUUUCCUUCCUCGUUUUUCUUUAUUGCCAGGAUUUGAGACCAUAAUUGAUGAUACUCUCUCUUCAGUUCAUCAAGGCGAUCUGAGGACAGAUCAUCCAUGAAGACCCUCAUCCACUGCAGGAAGUAUUUCUUGGUACUGGCUGGCUGUGACCGGAGAAAACCAAGGACUGAUUUCAUCAGCUGAUUGAGGGGGAACGCUUUCUGCAGUUGCUUUCUUCUUAUUGCAGCUUUAUCCCUUUCAAUUUGGCUCCGAUGAUGUUCUAUGCUCUUGUUUCCCUUCUCUUGUAAGCGAGUGAGUUCUCUGUCCCUUUUACACCAAUUGUACCACAGUUUUCCUUGAAGAGGCAGCAGCUUUGAUUUGAUCUCAGACAGCUUCUCUCCCUUCAGCAGCUUCACCAGCUUGUUUGCCUUUUCUUUGGCUAUCACACACUCUUCUACAUCUUCAUCAACUAAGAAGCCGUGCUGGCGAGCUGUGCCCAGGCACAUAUCAAGGCUAGAGCGUGUGCAUGAGCCCUCCAGGAGAUCUUGGAUUGUUUCUGUCAGCUCACCUAUUAAUUCUGCU
rnacentral:lncRNA from 1 species